UGUCAAGUGUAACUCGCUUGUCUUCCUAUGCGAAACAGUGACGAGUCCUGUUCAAUCCGGUGAAGUCCUGCGAAGUCAGCUGCCGCGCCCGUCCUCCAGAGCUCAGAUUAUUUUUAUCCAUUUGAAAAUCACAACAAAACAACCCGUCAACCAUGGCCGACGAUGAAG